rnacentral:misc_RNA from 1 species
GAUGAAGAACGCAGCGAAAUGCGAUAAGUAAUGUGAAUUGCAGAAUUCAGUGAAUCAUCGAAUCUUUGAACGCACAUUGCGCCCCUUGGUAUUCCGAGGGGCAUGCCUGUUCGAGCGUCAUUAUAACCCCUCAAGCUCAGCUUGGUGUUGGGGCCUGCUGCACUGGCAGCCCUUAAAAUCAGUGGCGGCGCCAUCUGGCUCUAAGCGUAGUAAUUCUUCUCGCUAUGGAGUCCCGGUGGAUGCUUGCCAUCAACCCCCAAUUUUUCUAUGGUUGACCUCGGAUCAGGUAGGGAUACCCGCUGAACUUAAGCAUAUCAAUAAGCGGAGGA